rnacentral:rRNA from 1 species
CCUACGGGUGGCAGCAGUGGGGAAUAUUGCGCAAUGGGCGAAAGCCUGACGCAGCGACGCCGCGUGAGGGAUGAAGGUCUUCGAAUCGUAAAACUCUGUCAGCAGGGAAGAACGGUCACUGUGCUAAUCAGCAGUGAAUUGACGGUACCUGCAAAGGAAGCACCGGCUAACUCCGUGCCAGCAGCCGCGGUAAGACGGAGGGAGCGAGCGUUAAUCGGAAUUACUGGGCGUAAAGCGCUCGUAGGCGGUAUGUCAAGUCAAGGGUGAAAUCCCCGCGCUCAACGUGGGAACUGCCUUUGAAACUGGCAACCUGGAGUGUGUGAGAGGAUAGUGGAAUUCCAGGUGUAGGAGUGAAAUCCGUAGAUAUCUGGCGGAACGUCAGUGGCGAAGGCGACUAUCUGGCACAUAACUGACGCUGAGGAGCGAAAGCGUGGGUAGCAAACAGGAUUAGAUACCCCUGUAGUC